rnacentral:rRNA from 1 species
UACGGGGGGGGCAAGCGUUGUUCGGAAUUACUGGGCGUAAAGGGUUCGUAGGUGGCCCGCUAAGUCAGACGUGAAAUCCCUCAGCUCAACUGGGGAACUGCGUCUGAGACUGGUGGGCUUGAGUGCAGGAGAGGAACGCGGAAUUCCAGGUGUAGCGGUGAAAUGCGUAGAUAUCUGGAGGAACACCGAUGGCGAAGGCAGGUCUCUGGGCAUUAACUGACGCUGAGGAGCGAAAGCAUGGGGAGCGAACAGG